AGAGCCGCGUCCCCGGCCGGGAGCCGCUGCCUCACGCGCAGUCGAAGCACGAGCUCGGCUUUGUGCUUCACGAGCCAAAUUCUGUAAAAAGCACAGGGGGGAAGAGAAAUAAAUCUCUGGAUGAGCUGCGAUAAGCAGAGCAAGUCAUCCGGGGCGAAUCGAAGGGCUCGCCGCAAUUCAGCUGUCCGCUCCUUCCCUCCCGUGGCAGCCGGAGCGGGCAGAACCGCCGGGUCCGAAACGCUGCGGCCCAGGGCUGCGUUAAAACCCGGGGCCGGAACCGGGGCUCGGGAAACGCGGUCCCAGGAGCCAACACCGCAGCGCGUUCCUCCCGCAGCCCCGGGCCGCGGCGUGCCCCGCUUCCACCCGCGGGCUGAGGAUGCUGUCAUCCACACCGCGCCAUGCGAAGAGGAGGCGGCGAGGAACAAGGAGCAGUUCCCAGAGCUGAUGGAUCUCGGCCCCGGCCCGGCGCUGCGGGCCUGGCUGCUGGAGCCCGGCUUCGGGCUCGAGGAGGCGAAGACCCACCCGCACGCGCUCGUGUUGCAGCAGCCCGAUUUCCAGCAGCCCGAUUUCCAGCAGCCCGAUUUCCAGCAGCCCGCUGCCGAGGAGCCCAGCGCCCCGGGAGGCGACGCCAGCCCCGCUGCCGAGCCGCAGAAAAAGAGCAAGAAGAGGAAAAGGACGAGCAACGCGCAGCCGCACAGAAAGGUCCCAUCUCGGGACGCGCUGGCUGCUCUCGAGUCCCCGGGACGUGGCUGCAGAUCCCUGGCAGCCCCAGCUGAGGGGCGUCUACUUCCCCCUGCAGUUCCUGGCUCCUGGCCUGUUCUUCCCCCUCCUCCCAGGCCUAGUGCUGAGUGGGAGUGAAGCCUUGGCACACAGGGACGGCUGCCGCGCCUGCGACCCUUGUACCAGUACAUCAACCUCCCCACGCCAGAGCUGAUGAGCCCAUGGGAAGGUGAUGGCGCAGCACCAGCGGGUAGGGGAGCAGCUCCAGGGCUGGAGAGAGAGCUCCAGCAAGGUUCAGUGAGCACACUUGAUGGCUGGGAGUCCCUCUGAGAAGCCCACAGCAGAUGAGAGCACUCGGAGCCAAGCACCAGCCAAGCUCCCACCCUUCAGAGCAGCGCUUCAGUACGCUUGUUUCUG